rnacentral:misc_RNA from 1 species
AAAAAAUCUACUUCCUGGUUUUCAAUAGCUAAAUUAUUCGGCUUUUGUGAGCCGGAAAAUUUGGAGCUGGUGAUAUAACACCAAGAGAGCCUGUUAGCAAGGUACAUAGUGAUUUGGUUACAAAAGAAGCUUCUGGAUAAAGAGAACGGAAUCAAGAAUUUGAGAUUUAGUCAACCUUAACACCAUGGAAGAUGACAUGGGAAUAAAACGUCCUUUGGAUGAUGAUUAUGAAGAAGAUGAAGAUGACCAUAAAAGGAGACGGGGUGAUGGACCAAAAGUGGAGCUAAGGUUCCUACUGGCUAGCAAGGUAGGAUAUAUUACGAAUAUUAGAAGAUAUCAUAAUGCAUUGAAUCCUAAGGAUAGUAAUGUUUAGGUAGACUGGUUAAACACAGCUUGUUGAUGCUGCAUUUUUCAAUUGUGUGGGAAGGACAAGAUACUAAUUAUGUGGUUGGAAGUUGAACAAAUUUAGAAAAAUAGCAUUUUUUUUUGGCUUAUGUCUAACUUCUUUGCAUGAUUAUUAUGAAAAGUUGAAGUGCAGUUGUCUAAUUGUGAGGUAGAAAGAAAGCCACAGUGCUUUUAUAGAUUCCUCCAGUACUUUGAUGUAAUUAACACUUACUGAGUGGAGAAUAAUGUUAAUUAGAUGCAAGAAUACCUUGGCUAAGUGUGAAAAUUAUUGAACAUUAUUCUCUGAAAAUGUUUCGCUGAAGGGUAUAAUGAUAACUACGGUAUUAUUCUUUACAUUGGAAAAAAAGGAAGCUUUAGUAGGACACUAUUUCAGGGUUUUUUCUUGCAUUUGGCAAAAUUCCCUUUUAUUUUCAAUAAUUGCUAAAAAUUGGAGCCAGAUAAGAGAAGUUAGGAUCAGAUAACGGGUUAUUGCAGGUAAAAGUUUGUCACCUGAGGGCCUUAACGGGGCCUGAUUUAUUGAUUCCAUAGUCAAGCUUCCUGCAACUCCAGCACCCAGUAAUUAGUAGAAAUACAAGGAAAUGAACAAGCAGUGUUGUCCAUUGCACACAUUGAUAUUGCUUCCUGUUACAAAAAGGGAAAGAAGUGUACAAUUAAGUGAACAUAUGGUGGCUGCCUUGUUUGGUAUUCAGCAGGGCGUAGAAUGGGAAGUGCUUGUGAUGUUAGGGUGAAACAGGCAGAACUAUUGAUCUGGGAGGGAUUGCCCAGGAGCUACAGCUUGGAUCAAUUUUAUAAAUACGGUUAUUGAUUUUAUUGGAAAGGCUUUGAUUUUAAGAGGAAUUGGAUGGAUAUUAGUGUUUAUCAAUAAUAGAUAAGCCAUGUUGAUAACAGUUUGUGAUAGACUAUAACAAAAAUGAAAAAUUAAACCCUUUGUAGGAGAAUUAUGAAAGUCAUGCUAUUGUGCAAAUAAUUCAUUUCGUUGGGAUGGCACUCCUUGUCAAUUGAGAGAAAAAUAGCGUUUAGUUAAGUGUGUGUAAUCAAGAUUUACAAGAAUUUGGGGAACUUAUUUUAAAAGAGUAUUUCAGGAGUUGCAAUCACAAGCGUUAUGAAGAGAUACAAGAGGUUACAACAGUUUUUCUUCCUCUUGUAGAAUGCUGGCGCCAUCAUUGGAAAAGGAGGCAGCAAUAUCAAACGACUGAGGCAGGAUGUAAGUAUAUGUUGUCAUGGUAACAUGACUGCACAUCACAUGUCACAUGAGAAAUUUAUUUGGAAAACAUCC